rnacentral:rRNA from 1 species
AGCUCCAAUAGCGUAUAUUAAUAUUGUUGCAGUUAAAAAGCUCGUAGUUGAAAUAUGUAAGAAUAAUAUAAUUUUUAUAAAUAAAAAAAUAAAUUCAUUAUUUCAAAAAAUAAUAAUUUAUUUUUAUAUAAAAAUAAUUAAUUUUACGUUUCUGAUUUAAUAAUUAUAUGGUAUUGAUUUAUUUGUUAAUUAUUUUAUUAGUCAUUUACUGUGAGAAAAUUAGAGUGUUCAAAGCAAACGUUUAUAAUAUAGUUUGAAUACAUUAGCAUGGAAUAAUAAUAUAAGGCUUUUAUGGUCAAUUUGAUUGGUUUAGUCCUAAAAGCAAGAUUAAUAGGGAUAGUUGGGGAUAUUUAUAUUCAAUAGUCAGAGGUGAAAUUCUCGGAUUUAUGGAAGAUAAACUAAUGCGAAAGCAUUUAUCAAGGAUGUUUUCA